CUUCCCGGCGGGGAAUCGAACCCCGAUCGGCCGCGUGACAGGCGGAAUACUAACCACUAUACUACCGAGGA
rnacentral:tRNA from 1 species